rnacentral:tRNA from 1 species
UUUAGGUGACUGAAAAAAGUAUUGAUCUUUUAAAUCAAAUCAUGAGAAUUCUCUCCCUGAAG